rnacentral:rRNA from 1 species
GACGGAGGAUGCAAGUGUUAUCCGGAAUCACUGGGCGUAAAGCGUCUGUAGGUGGUCCAAUAAGUCAACUGUUAAAUCUUGAGGCUUAACUUCAAAAUCGCAGUCGAAACUAUUAGACUUGAGUAUAGUAGGGGUAAAGGGAAUUUCCAGUGGAGCGGUGAAAUGCGUAGAGAUUGGAAGGAACACCGAUGGCGAAGGCACUUUACUGGGCUAUGACUGACACUGAGAGACGAAAGCUAGGGUAGCAAAUGGG